rnacentral:rRNA from 1 species
AGUGAACGCUGGUGGUAGGCCUAACACAUGCAAGUCGAACGGCAGCACAGUAAGAGCUUGCUCUUACGGGUGGCGAGUGGCGGACGGGUGAGGAAUACAUCGGAAUCUACUUUUUCGUGGGGGAUAACGUAGGGAAACUUACGCUAAUACCGCAUACGACCUACGGGUGAAAGCAGGGGAUCUUCGGACCUUGCGCGAUUGAAUGAGCCGAUGUCGGAUUAGCUAGUCGGCGGGGUAAAGGCCCACCAAGGCGACGAUCCGUAGCUGGUCUGAGAGGAUGAUCAGCCACACUGGAACUGAGACACGGUCCAGACUCCUACGGGAGGCAGCAGUGGGGAAUAUUGGACAAUGGGCGCAAGCCUGAUCCAGCCAUACCGCGUGGGUGAAGAAGGCCUUCGGGUUGUAAAGCCCUUUUGUUGGGAAAGAAAAGCAGCAGGUUAAUACCCCGCUGUUCUGACGGUACCCAAAGAAUAAGCACCGGCUAACUUCGUG